rnacentral:tRNA from 1 species
GCGAGGGUGGCUGAGCAUGGCCAAAAGUGGCGGGCUUAAGACCCGCUCCCGUAGGGGUUCGAGGGUUCAAAUCCCUUCCCUCGCA